AAUGGGGGAUAACGUAGCGAAAGUUACGCUAAUACCGCAUAUGCCCUGAGGGGGAAAGUGGGGGACCGCAAGGCCUCACGUUGUCGGAGCGGCCGAUAUCAGAUUAGCUAGUUGGUGGGGUAAAGGCCUACCAAGGCGACGAUCUGUAGCUGGUCUGAGAGGACGACCAGCCACACUGGGACUGAGACACGGCCCAGACUCCUACGGGAGGCAGCAGUGGGGAAUUUUGGACAAUGGGGGCAACCCUGAUCCAGCCAUGCCGCGUGAGUGAAGAAGGCCUUCGGGUUGUAAAGCUCUUUCGGACGGAAAGAAAUCGCCACUUCUAAUAAAGGUGGUGGAUGACGGUACCGUCAUAAGAAGCACCGGCUAACUACGUGCCAGCAGCCGCGGUAAUACGUAGGGUGCGAGCGUUAAUCGGAAUUACUGGGCGUAAAGCGUGCGCAGGCGGUUUUGUAAGACAGACGUGAAAUCCCCGGGCUUAACCUGGGAACUGCGUUUGUGACUGCAAGGCUAGAGUGCGGCAGAGGGGGGUAGAAUUCCA
rnacentral:rRNA from 1 species